rnacentral:rRNA from 1 species
UGGGGAAUCUUGGACAAUGGGCGCAAGCCUGAUCCAGCCAUGCCGCGUGAGCGAUGAAGGCCUUAGGGUUGUAAAGCUCUUUCACCGGUGAAGAUAAUGACGGUAGCCGGAGAAGAAGCCCCGGCUAACUCCGUGCCAGCAGCCGCGGUAAUACGGAGGGGGCUAGCGUUGUUCGGAAUUACUGGGCGUAAAGCGCGCGUAGGCGGACUGAUCAGUCAGGGGUGAAAUCCCGGGGGCUCAACCCCGGAACUGCCUUUGAUACUGUUAGACUAGAGUUCGGGAGAGGAUAGUGGAAUUCCCAGUGUAGAGGUGAAAUUCGUAGAUAUUGGGAAGAACACCAGUGGCGAAGGCGGCUAUCUGGACCGAUACUGACGCUGAGGCGCGAAAGCGUGGGGAGCAAACAGGAUUAGAUACCCUGGUAGUCCACACCGUAAACGAUGAAUGCCAGUCGUCGGGUAGCAUGCUAUUCGGUGACACACCUAACGGAUUAAGCAUUCCGCCUGGGAGUACGGUCGCAAGAUUAAAAGCUCAAA